rnacentral:hammerhead_ribozyme from 1 species
GUUCAGCUGAUGAGUCCCGAAUAGGACGAAACGCGCGUUCUGGAU